rnacentral:rRNA from 1 species
GACGAACGCUGGCGGCGUGCCUAAUACAUGCAAGUUGAGCGCUGAAGGUUGGUACUUGUACCAACUGGAUGAGCAGCGAACGGGUGAGUAACGCGUGGGGAAUCUGCCUUGGAGCGGGGGACAACAUUUGGAAACGAAUGCUAAUACCGCAUAAAAACUUUAAAAACAAGUUUUAAGUUUGAAAGAUGCAAUUGCAUCACUCAAAGAUGAUCCCGCGUUGUAUUAGCUAGUUGGUGAGGUAAAGGCUCACCCAGGCGAUGAUACAUAGCCGACCUGGGAGGGUGAACGGCCCAAAUGGGAAUGAGACAACGCCCAAAACCCUAAGGGAGGCAGCAGGAGGGAAUCUUCGGAAAAAGACGAAAGGCUGAACGAGCAAAGCCGCGUGAGUGAAGAAGGUUGUCGGAUCGUAAAACUCUGUUGGUAGAGAAGAAAGUUGGUGAGAGUGGAAAGCUAAUCAAGUGACGGUAACUUAACAGAAAGGGACGGCUAACUACGUG